UGCAUUCAUUACUGUAAGUCGCUCUGGAUAAGAGCGUCUGCUAAAUGCAAAUGU
rfam:Salmo salar isolate Sally breed double haploid chromosome ssa11, whole genome shotgun sequence.